UACGUAGGGUGCAAGCGUUGUCCGGAAUUAUUGGGCGUAAAGGGCGCGUAGGCGGCUCGUGAAGUCGGGUGUGAAAGCCCGGGGCUCAACCCCGGAACGGCAUCCGAUACUGGCGGGGCUUGAGACCGGGAGAGGAGGGUGGAAUACCCAGUGUAGAGGUGAAAUUCGUGGAUAUUGGGUGGAACACCGGUGGCGAAAGCGGCUCUCUGGCCCGGAUCUGACGCUGAGGCGCGAAAGCGUGGGGAGCAAACAGG
rnacentral:rRNA from 1 species